GGGGAUUAGUGGCGAACGGGUGAGUAACACGUGAGUAACCUGCCCUUGACUCUGGGAUAAGCCUGGGAAACUGGGUCUAAUACCGGAUAUGACUUCUCAUCGCAUGGUGGGGGGUGGAAAGCUUUUGUGGUUUUGGAUGGACUCGCGGCCUAUCAGCUUGUUGGUGGGGUAAUGGCCUACCAAGGCGACGACGGGUAGCCGGCCUGAGAGGGUGACCGGCCACACUGGGACUGAGACACGGCCCAGACUCCUACGGGAGGCAGCAGUGGGGAAUAUUGCACAAUGGGCGCAAGCCUGAUGCAGCGACGCCGCGUGAGGGAUGACGGCCUUCGGGUUGUAAACCUCUUUCAGUAGGGAAGAAGCCCUUUUUGGGGGUGACGGUACUUGCAGAAGAAGCGCCGGCUAACUACGUGCCAGCAGCCGCGGUAAUACGUAGGGCGCAAGCGUUAUCCGGAAUUAUUGGGCGUAAAGAGCUCGUAGGCGGUUUGUCGCGUCUGCUGUGAAAGACCGGGGCUCAACUCCGGUUCUGCAGUGGGUACGGGCAGACUAGAGUGCAGUAGGGGAGACUGGAAUUCCUGGUGUAGCGGUGAAAUGCGCAGAUAUCAGGAGGAACACCGAUGGCGAAGGCAGGUCUCUGGGCUGUAACUGACGCUGAGGAGCGAAAGCAUGGGGAGCGAACAGGAUUAGAUACCCUGGUAGUCCAUGCCGUAAACGUUGGGCACUAGGUGUGGGGGACAUUCCACGUUUUCCGCGCCGUAGCUAACGCAUUAAGUGCCCCGCCUGGGGAGUACGGCCGCAAGGCUAAAACUCAAAGGAAUUGACGGGGGCCCGCACAAGCGGCGGAGCAUGCGGAUUAAUUCGAUGCAACGCGAAGAACCUUACCAAGGCUUGACAUGAACCGGAAAGACCUGGAAACAGGUGCCCCGCUUGCGGUCGGUUUACAGGUGGUGCAUGGUUGUCGUCAGCUCGUGUCGUGAGAUGUUGGGUUAAGUCCCGCAACGAGCGCAACCCUCGUUCUAUGUUGCCAGCGGUUCGGCCGGGGACUCAUAGGAGACUGCCGGGGUCAACUCGGAGGAAGGUGGGGACGACGUCAAAUCAUCAUGCCCCUUAUGUCUUGGGCUUCACGCAUGCUACAAUGGCCGGUACAAAGGGUUGCGAUACUGUGAGGUGGAGCUAAUCCCAAAAAGCCGGUCUCAGUUCGGAUUGGGGUCUGCAACUCGACCCCAUGAAGUCGGAGU
rnacentral:rRNA from 1 species